rnacentral:rRNA from 1 species
GACGAACGCUGGCGGCGUGCUUAACACAUGCAAGUGGAGCGACGAACCAGGCUUCGGCCUGGGGCAGAGCCGCGAACGGGUGAGUAACACGUGGGUAACCUACCUCGAAGACCGGGACAACCCGAGGAAACUCGGGCUAAUACCGGAUGUGGUCACUGUGCACAAGUGCAGUGAACAAAGGAAGCUUCGGCCUCCGCUUCGGGAGGGGCCCGCGGCCCAUUAGCUUGUUGGUGAGGUAACGGCUCACCAAGGCUUCUAUGGGUAGCUGGUCUGAGAGGACGAUCAGCCACACUGGGACUGAGACACGGCCCAGACUCCUACGGGAGGCAGCAGUGGGGAAUCUUGCGCAAUGCACGACAGUGUGACGCAGCGACGCCGCGUGGGGGAAGACGGCCU